GGAGGUCUUCAGGCAGAAUCUUUUCCAGGAGGUAAGUCUCUGGAUUUGAGCGAUUUGACCCAGAAUCUUGGACCAAUACUUGAGGAUAACAGCCUCUCAGAAUGACCCCCCCAAGUCACCCUAGACUUAACCCUACUUCCCUUACCAAGCCUUCACCCAAAGUAACCCCGGAAUUAUUGAUAGCUACCUUUAAUCUGACCUUUCUUAUGACUCUCCCGACUUCUGGCACUUCUCCCGUCUUUUGAUGUGGAGGAAAAAAACCAUGGCUUCCAAAGCAGGAAUAUCACAGUCCUAACCUUGGUUCUGCCACUUACCAGCUUGGGCAAGUCCUUUCAUUUUCAGGUCUUCAGUUUCCUCAUUUGCAAGUCUUGGACCCAGUGAUUUCCAAAGGCCCUUCCAGUUCCAUUUGUCAGACAUCUCAUUGAGCAUAUUCUGUGAUUCCCCUCCCUUGCAAUGUAACCCACAGGCUGAGGAAUUCCUCUACAGAUUCUUGCCACAGAAAAUCAUAUACCUGAAUCAGCUCUUGCAAGAGGACUCCCUCAAUGUGGCUGACUUGACUUCCCUCCGGGCCCCACUGGACAUCCCCAUCCCAGACCCUCCACCCAAGGAUGAUGAGAUGGAAACAGAUAAGCAGGAGAAGAAAGAAGUCCCUAAGUGUGGAUUUCUCCCUGGGAAUGAGAAAGUCCUGUCCCUGCUUGCCCUGGUUAAGCCAGAAGUCUGGACUCUCAAAGAGAAAUGCAUUCUGGUAAGCCUGGGAAAUGGGGGAAGCAGAAAGAGAAGACACACAAGGUGAGGCCCUGGACUCCUCCGUAGAUACAAGUCCUUCAUACAGAGACCUAGUCCUGAAAAAGAGAACUUCCUUCUGUGCCUUGGGCUUAGAUCCUCUUUGUUCUCCUCGUUCUGUUAGACCUCUUUUAUCACAACGGUACCCCCAAAAUUAGAGACUGUGCAGUAUCCACUCUGUAACCUCAGAACCUACUGCUGUAUUGGGUUCAUAGUAGAGGUGGUAUGAUAUAGUGAGUGAAUUGUUUAAAAAAAUUGGACCCUAGAGAGAAACUACUUAGGUUCAAAUCGUGAUUCUAUCAGUUACCUAGCUGGUAGCCUUAAGUAAGUCACUUAGACAUUCUGUGACUCAGUUUUUUCAUCUGUUAAAUGGGUACAAUAAAUACAUAUCUCUGAAGGUUGCUGCGAUGAUUACAUGAAAUAAACACAUGGCACAGUACCUGGUAUGUAAUAAGUACCCAAUUAAAUAUAACUUUUUUUAGGAAGUGACAGUAAUAGGAAGAACUCAGUAUGUUUGUUGAAUGAUUCUUACAUGAUACCUCUUAACAUAGGUGAUUACAUGGAUCCAACACCUGAUCCCCAAGAUUGAAGAUGGAAAUGAUUUUGGGGUAGCAAUCCAGGAGAAGGUGCUGGAGAGGGUGAAUGCCGUCAAAACCAAAGUGGAAGCUUUCCAGACAACCAUUUCCAAGUACUUCUCAGAACGUGGGGAUGCUGUGGCCAAGGCCUCCAAGGAGACUCAUGUAAUGGAUUACCGGGCCUUGGUGCAUGAGCGAGAUGAGGCAGCCUAUGGGGAGCUCAGGGCCAUGGUGCUGGACCUGAGGGCCUUCUAUGCUGAGCUUUAUCAUAUCAUCAGCAGCAACCUGGAGAAAAUUGUCAACCCAAAGGGUGAAGAAAAGCCAUCUAUGUACUGAACCCAGGACUAGAAGGAAAAUAAAUGA
rnacentral:sRNA from 1 species